rnacentral:rRNA from 1 species
AAUGAACGCUGGCGGCGUGCUUAACACAUGCAAGUCGAGCGAGAAAGUCUCUUCGGAGACAAGUAAAGCGGCGGACGAGUGAGUAAUACGUGAGAACCCUACCCUUUAGUGAGGAAUACCCUCGAGAAAUUGAGGCUAAUACUGCAUAAGUCCCUACGGGGAGAAAGGCAACUUCAUGUUGUCGCUAAUGGAUGGGCUUGCGGGCUAUCAGCUAGUUGGUGAGGUAAUGGCUCACCAAGGCUAUGACGGCUAACCGGCCUGAGAGGGUGUACGGUCACGUUGGAACUGAGAUACGGUCCAAACUCCUACGGGAGGCAGCAGUGAGGAAUAUUGCGCAAUGGGCGAAAGCCUGACGCAGCGACGCCGCGUGGAGGGUGAAGGUCUUCGGAUUGUAACUCCUGUCAAGCGGGAAGAAGGCCCCACGAGUAAUAUGCGUGGGAGAUGACGGUACCGCUAGAGG